rnacentral:tRNA from 1 species
GUUUUAAUAGUUUAAACAAAAACUUUGGUCUUGUAAACCAAUAAUGAAUCUUCUUUUCUUAAAACU